GACGAACGCUGGCGGCGUGCUUAACACAUGCCAGUCGAACGGAAAGGCCCUGCUUGCAGGGUACUCGAGUGGCGAACGGGUGAGUAACACGUGGGUGAUCUGCCCUGCACUUCGGGAUAAGCCUGGGAAACUGGGUCUAAUACCGGAUAGGAGCCAUUUUUAGCGUGAUGGUUGGAAAGUUUUUUCGGUGUAGGAUGAGCUCGCGGCCUAUCAGCUUGUUGGUGGGGUAAUGGCCUACCAAGGCGGCGACGGGUAGCCGGCCUGAGAGGGUGGACGGCCACAUUGGGACUGAGAUACGGCCCAGACUCCUACGGGAGGCAGCAGUGGGGAAUAUUGCACAAUGGGCGCAAGCCUGAUGCAGCGACGCCGCGUGGGGGAUGACGGCCUUCGGGUUGUAAACUCCUUUCGCUAGGGACGAAGCUUUUUGUGACGGUACCUAGAUAAGAAGCACCGGCUAACUACGUG
rnacentral:rRNA from 1 species